rnacentral:rRNA from 1 species
UUAUUAAAUCAGUUAUGGUUCCUUAGAUCGUUUCUUCCUACUUGGAUAACUGUGGCAAUUCUAGAGCUAAUACAUGCAGUGAGCCUGAAGCCCUUUGGGCGACGGGUGCUUUUAUUAGACCAAGAUCGAUCGGGUUUCGGCCCGUAUUGUGUGGUGACUCUGGAUAACUUUGUGCUGAUCGCAUGGCCACGAGCCGGCGACGUUUCUUUCAAGUGUCUGCCUUAUCAACUUUCGAUGGUAGGUUACUUGCUUACCAUGGUUGUUACGGGUAACGGAGAAUCAGGGUUCGAUUCCGGAGAGGGAGCCUGAGAAACGGCUACCACAUCCAAGGAAGGCAGCAGGCGCGCAAAUUACCCACUCCCGGCACGGGGAGGUAGUGACGAAAAAUAACAAUACGGGACUCUUUUGAGGCCCCGUAAUUGAAAUGAGUACACUCUAAAUCCUUUAACGAGGAUCAAUUGGAGGGCAAGUCUGGUGCCAGCAGCCGCGGUAAUUCCAGCUCCAAUAGCGUAUACUAAAGCUGCUGCGGUUAAAAAGCUCGUAGUUGGAUCUCAGUUCCAGACGAGUAGUGCAUCUACCCGAUGCGACGGCUCGGACUGAACAUCAUGCCGGUCCUUUCUUGGUGCACUUCAUUGUGUGCCUCGAGAAGGCCGGUGCUUUUACUUUGAAAAAAUUAGAGUGCUCAACGCAGGCGAGUCGCCUGAAUAAACUUGCAUGGAAUAAUAGAACAAGACCUCGUUUCUGUUCUGUUGGUUUUUGGAAUACGAGGUAAUGAUUAAGAGGGACAGACGGGGGCAUUCGU